CCUACGGACGGCAGCAGUGAGGAAUAUUGGUCAAUGGGCGCAGGGCUGAACCAGCCAAGUCGCGUGAGGGAUGACGGUCCUAUGGAUUGUAAACCUCUUUUGUCGGGGAGCAAAGGGCGCCACGUGUGGCGUUUUGCGAGUACAUGAAGAAAAAGCAUCGGCUAACUCCGUGCCAGCAGCCGCGGUAAUACGGAGGAUGCGGGCGUUAUCCGGAUUUAGUGGGUUUAAAGGGUGCGCAGGCGGAAUGUAAAGUCAGCGGUAAAAUUUCGGGGCUCAACCCCGUCGUGCCGUUGAAACUGGCGGUCUUGAGUGCGCGAGAAGUAUGCGGAAUGCGUGGUGUAGCGGUGAAAUGCAUAGAUAUCACGCAGAACUCCGAUUGCGAAGGCAGCAUACCGGCGCUCAACUGACGCUGAUGCACGAAAGCGUGGGUAUCGAACAGGAUUAGAUACCCUUGUAGUC
rnacentral:rRNA from 1 species